GAUCCUGGCUCAGGAUGAACGCUAGCUACAGGCUUAACACAUGCAAGUCGAGGGGCAGCAUGGUCUUAGCUUGCUAAGGCCGAUGGCGACCGGCGCACGGGUGAGUAACGCGUAUCCAACCUGCCUUACACUCUUGGACAGCCUUCUGAAAGGGAGAUUAAUACAAGAUGUUAUCAUGAGUAAGCAUUUUUCACAUGAUUAAAGGUUUACCGGUAGUAAGAGUGGGGAUGUCCGUUCCUAA
rnacentral:rRNA from 1 species